rnacentral:rRNA from 1 species
AGUGAACGCUGGCGGUAUGCCUAACACAUGCAAGUCGAACGGCAGCACAGUAAGAGCUUGCUCUUACGGGUGGCGAGUGGCGGACGGGUGAGGAAUACAUCGGAAUCUACUUUUUCGUGGGGGAUAACGGAGGGAAACUGACGCUAAUACCGCAUACUACCUACGGCUGAAAUCAGGGGAUCUUCGGACCUUUCGCGAUUGAUUGAGCCGAUGUCGGAUUAGCUAGUUGGCGGGGUAACGGCCCACCAAGGCGACGAUCCGUAGCUGGUCUGAGAGGAUGAUCAGCCACACUGGAACUGAGACACGGUCCAGACUCCUACGGGAGGCAGCAGUAGGGAAUAUUGCACAAUGGGCGCAAGCCUGAUGCAGCCACACCGCGUGGGUGAAGAAGGCCUUCGGGUUGUAAAGCCCUUUUGUUGGGAAAGAAAAGCAGCAGGUUAAUACCCCGAUGUUCUGACGGUACCCAAAGAAUAAGCACCGGCUAACUUCGUG